CUGGGUCUGGUCCGGCUGGGUCUGGUCCGGCCGGCUCUGGUCCGGCCGGCUCUGGACCGGCCGGCUCUGGACCGGCCGGCUCUGG
rnacentral:tRNA from 1 species